rnacentral:rRNA from 1 species
UACGGAGGGUGCAAGCGUUAAUCGGAAUUACUGGGCGUAAAGCGCGCGUAGGCGGUUUGUUAAGUUGGCUGUGAAAGCCCCGGGCUCAACCUGGGAUGGUCAGUCAAAACUGGCAAACUAGAGUACAGUAGAGGAGUGUGGAAUUUCCGGUGUAGCGGUGAAAUGCGUAGAUAUCGGAAGGAACACCAGUGGCGAAGGCGGCACUCUGGACUGAUACUGACGCUGAGGUGCGAAAGCGUGGGGAGCAAACAGG